AGAUGUUCAAUCUAUGAUGUUAUCAAAAUAACAAUUAAAAACUGAAUCUUGGUUCCAAAUUACACACAUUGUUUGGAUAUUAGACCUUUGGCUGGUAAUUUGAAAAAUGCACUGCAAAUAUUAAAGUGGUGAUAAUUUACUUUGGUCUGACCUUCCCAGAUCCUACCUGGAUUCCAAACAUUACCUAAUGGCUCUUCACGCAAGUUAUGGGUAAUGUGGGAAUGAGCUGUCAUGAUGCUACCAGCAAAAGACUGUGGACUUGUCCCAUCCAUUGGUAAAUUGCUGGCAUCUUCCUUGAUUGAAGGUGAAUCUGGAGUAACUGUUCUUUUGGUAAAUGCUGGAAAGGCAAGAGAAAAGACAAAAAUAAACCUAAAUGAAUAAAAUCCUUGGGCUGACAAAA